GACGAACGCUGGCGGCGUGCUUAACACAUGCAGGUCGAACGGUGAUGCUCCAGCUUGCUGGAGUGGAUCAGUGGCGAACGGGUGAGUAACACGUGAGCAACCUGCCCCAGACUCUGGAAUAAGCGCUGGAAACGGCGUCUAAUACUGGAUACGAAACUGGCCCGCAUGGGCAUGGUUUGGAAAGUUUUUCGGUUUGGGAUGGGCUCGCGGCCUAUCAGCUUGUUGGUGAGGUAAUGGCUCACCAAGGCGACGACGGGUAGCCGGCCUGAGAGGGCGACCGGCCACACUGGGACUGAGACACGGCCCAGACUCCUACGGGAGGCAGCAGUGGGGAAUAUUGCACAAUGGGCGAAAGCCUGAUGCAGCGACGCCGCGUGAGGGAUGACGGCCUUCGGGUUGUAAACCUCUUUCAGCAGGGAAGAAGCGAAAGUGACGGUACCUGCAGAAGAAGCACCGGCUAACUACGUG
rnacentral:rRNA from 1 species